rnacentral:rRNA from 1 species
UACGUAGGGUGCAAGCGUUGUCCGGAUUUAUUGGGCGUAAAGAGCUCGUAGGCGGUUCGGCAAGUCGGGUGUGAAAUUUCGAGGCUCAACCUCGAAACGCCACUCGAUACUGCUGUGACUGGAGUCCGGUAGAGGAGUGCGGAAUUCCUGGUGUAGCGGUGAAAUGCGCAGAUAUCAGGAGGAACACCAACGGCGAAGGCAGCACUCUGGGCCGGUACUGACGCUGAGGAGCGAAAGCGUGGGGAGCAAACAGG